UUCUUUCCCACCGGCCAGGCACUCCUGUCUGCUCUCAGCUGGUGUUCUGCAUGCACGUCUGUGUCUGAAGCUGUAUUCUUGCCGUAUCCGUGGAGAGAGGGGUACUCCACCUCCACCUACUCCUCCGCCAUCUGUUUCUCCCCAUAUAAAUAUUCUUAUUUACUUGUUUUCCUGUGGUGUGGUCUUCCAGAUUCUGACUUGUAUCAUUUUCCUUCUCCCUGAAGAACUUAUUUUGACAUUUCUGGCAAGACAAGUCUGCUGGCAACAGAUUCCCCUCAUUUUUGUCUAAAAAAAUGUGUAUUUCUCCUUCAUUUUUGAAGAACAAUUUUGGAGGAUGCAAAAUUCCAGAAGACAAAGCAAAGUUUGGAAAUAUGGAUAUGACCACUAACGAACAUAAAAGGGCAAAAUGUUGGGAAACAUGCAUCUAGAAAUAUGUUUGCAUUCAUCAGCCACCAACUUGGAAUGUCAAACAGAGUCAAAUAGAUCGAGGAGAUAGAAGUAAGUGUGAAAAACAAGACAAAGGUGCACACAAGAAUCAGAAUAUUCUGGGUAGCCUUUUUCUCUGGAGAGAGCCUGGAGAUGUACCUAGAGCUGUGAAUAUAUUUGACUUGCUGUCUGUGGGUAUAGAGAUAAAGCAUCAUGGAACUACUGGUCCAGACCAAGAGCCCCACACACAUCAUGUCAAUGAAGGCAUGAAUGAGAGCAUAGAGUGAGGAGUUGAUGGGAUGACGAGGAGAACUAGAACAGUAUCCAAAAUAGCUCAGAGUGAUGUUUCUUAUCCUCUUUGGGCCAGUCACUUUCAGAGGAACCAGACUGUUUCCCAGAAAAAGCACCACCCAGCAAAGGAAACACAAAGACCCAAUAUACUGUGGGACUCUGGCUUUGACUUUAGCCCACCUGGAUUUACUGGGGAUGAUUGUGAUGGCCUGGAAGAUACUCAGGAGGCAAGUGGAAGAGAGACAAACUUCCCGGGCCACUCUGUGAAUAUAAAACAAAAAUUUACAUCCAUGAUCUUCCAGAAAAUUGUUCCACCCAAAAGAUACCAUUGUCUGGGGGAUCCCCCUAGAGAGAAGGACUAAAGUGUUGGCUAAGAAUAUAUGUUUGAGUAUGUGGUCUGAAGGUCUCACCCUGUCUCCAGCAUGAGAAGUGAAAAUAGAAAGAAAAAAGAAUAAAAAAUUCCCCAAAAGUCCAAUGCCAGUCUGAGACAAGAAGAAAAUCCCCAAUAUCAAGUCAAUAUAACCCAUUCCGUCAGUGACUGGGAAUGGCAAUUCUAUGCAUACUCAGAGUUAUCUUUAGAGAAAACAAAAGAUUGCCGCCAGUUACAUUGCAAAUGAAAUCCAAUGCUUAUCCCAACUCCAAAAUCUUUAAGAAUAAUACACUAUUUAAUAUCUGCAUAUUCUACCCAUGCCAACUCUUCCCGAUAGAGGAAUAUAUCAUAAAUCAUAUUUACAACGCAGUGCCUGCAUGCUAAGUUGCUUCACUCGUGUCUGAC